rnacentral:rRNA from 1 species
UACGUAGGGUGCAAGCGUUGUCCGGAUUUACUGGGCGUAAAGCGCGUGUAGGCGGCCACGCAGGUCCGUUGUGAAAACUGGAGGCUCAACCUCCAGACGUCGACGGAAACCGUGUGGCUAGAGUCCGGAAGAGGAGAGUGGAAUUUCUGGUGUAGCGGUGAAAUGCGCAGAUAUCAGGAAGAACACCAAUGGCGAAGGCAGCUCUCUGGGACGGUACUGACGCUGAGACGCGAAAGCGUGGGGAGCGAACAGG